rnacentral:rRNA from 1 species
AUGGCCUCCACCAAUAGCUGGACCCAUGAGAUUGAGUCGCCGGUCACUGAAUCGCGCCUCUUUCGCGCCGGCGUCAUGGACUGGCACACCCUGGCCCCCAAGCUCGCGCCACAGAUCGUCGCCAGCGCCCACCCUGUUGAAGGAGAAGGCGGCAUCGGGUCAGGCAGUUCAACUUCACCUCAGGAGAGGCUCGAGUUCAUUGACGUAGACAAGUGCGAGUGCAAGUCGACCCUCAUCGAGGGUGGUGGCAUCGGCACGGAAAUCGAGAUGGCAACGUCGCACAUUAAGGUGGAGCAGGCGGCCAACGGCGAGAGCGUGGUGAAGGUGAAAUCGACAUACAAGCUGCUGCUAGGCGUGGAGGUGAAGGAUGAGAUCACCAAGGCCAAGGACUCUGUCACAACCAUCUUUAAGGCUGCCGAGGCCUACCUUAUCGCCAACCCGGACACCUACAACUAA